GACGAACGCUGGCGGCGUGCUUAACACAUGCAAGUCGAACGGAAAGGCCCUGCUUUUUUGGCUUUCUCGAGUGGCGAGCGAAUGAGUAACACAUGCGUAACCUACCCUUGCCUUUCUGAUAACUUCGCGAACCUGAGGCUAAUACCUGCUAGAAGCUCCUUCUGCCUGGUGUGGGUUGGAUAGUUUCGGCGGUUGGGGAUGGACUCGCGGCUUAUGGUCUUGUUGGUUGGGUAGUGGCUUACCACGGCAUUGACGGUUAGCCGGCCUGAGAGGGUAACCGGACAAAUUGGGACUGAGAUAUGGCCCAGAAGGCUACGGGAGGCAGCAGUGGGGAAUAUGGCAAAAUGGGCGGAAGCCUGACGCAGCAACGCAGCGUGCGGGAUGACGGGCUUCGGGUUGUAAACCGCUUUCGCCUGUGACGAAGCGUGAGUGACGGUAAUGGGUAAAGAAGCACCGGCUAACUACGUG
rnacentral:rRNA from 1 species